GAUGAACGCUGGCGGCGUGCCUAAUACAUGCAAGUCGAGCGAACAGACGAGGAUCUUGCUCCUCUGACGUUAGCGGCGGACGGGUGAGUAACACGUGGAUAACCUACCUAUAAGACUGGGAUAACUUCGGGAAACCGGAUCUAAUACCGGAUAAUAUAUUGAACCGCAUGGUUCAAUAGUGAAAGACGGUUUUGCUGUCACUUAUAGAUGGAUCCGCGCCGCAUUAGCUAGUUGGUAAGGUAACGGCUUACCAAGGCAACGAUGCGUAGCCGACCUGAGAGGGUGAUCGGCCACACUGGAACUGAGACACGGUCCAGACUCCUACGGGAGGCAGCAGUAGGGAAUAUUCCGCAAUGGGCGAAAGCCUGACGGAGCAACGCCGCGUGAGUGAUGAAGGUCUUCGGAUCGUAAAACUCUGUUAUUAGGGAAGAACAAAUGUGUAAGUAACUAUGCACGUCUUGACGGUACCUAAUCAGAAAGCCACGGCUAACUACGUG
rnacentral:rRNA from 1 species